rnacentral:rRNA from 1 species
UACGUAGGGCGCAAGCGUUGUCCGGAAUUAUUGGGCGUAAAGAGCUCGUAGGCGGCCUGUUGCGUCCGCUGUGAAAACCCGGGGCUUAACCCCGGGCUUGCAGUGGAUACGGGCAGGCUGGAGGCAGGCAGGGGAGAACGGAAUUCCCGGUGUAGCGGUGAAAUGCGCAGAUAUCGGGAGGAACACCGGUGGCGAAGGCGGUUCUCUGGGCCUGUACUGACGCUGAGGAGCGAAAGCCAGGGGAGCAAACGGG